UCCUCCUCGCCACAUUGGAUCGGCGCUCGGCCUGUCUGCCAUCGGCCUAACUAUAUGAAGCGGCUGCCGUGGCAGCGUGGUCCAGCUCUUACCAGAACAAAAUUUAAUUUGGCGUUUUAUAUGGCUGCCGUUUUAUAACCAUCGACUCCACAACCUUAGGCUUUAUUACAAUUCACCUUUACUGAUUUGCCUCGUUUUCGUUGGACACCUGCGAAAUUACUAUAACAAACAGUACAAUGGAUUCUGCCGGAAACGCCAACCAAACAAAUCAGUGCAAUCUGACCCAGAAGCCCCCGGGACCAGGACAUAACGCUCAAGACAAGGGGGACGGAACCCAGGCCGAUCGAGACAUCUACUCCGGUCAGAGAAACAACAAUACAGCCAACUGCGGUGGCGGCCAGCAGCAGCAGGCCGUAAAAACUGGAAGCAGUUCGUCAGCGCCAGUACGUUCAGGGCGUGCAUAUCGUCAUCCACAACCUGUAAUGGUAUGCCUGUGUGGUGUGGAAAAUUGUAUCUACCGUCUAUCGUAAAAACACAUAUUGUAAUUGGUACGGUAACCGGUAUGUGCUGUGGUUAUUUUUUUAUCCUGUUUGCUGUAUGAAUCGGGGAAUGCUGGAUUCUGUGUCACUGUGUGCGUUGUUUUAAGACGACUCGUCACCUUAAUUGAGAGCUGUUUCGUAAAAUUGCUACGACUAUAAGAACUGCGGUGUUUUUGGACAUAUCACGGUUCAAGCUGCAAUCUGGGAAUGGUAUAGUAAAGUUUCGAAAAAUA